rnacentral:lncRNA from 1 species
UGGAAGGUGAAGACAAGAAGGGACAUGGCACUCCUUCCCAAAAGGUCAAUUUACUAAAAAAAAAAAUGUAUAUAGAAUUGGUAGAGCUAUAGGAAAAUCUUUUUAUAUUAAAACAAUUAUACCUAUAUUAUCAUAGAAUAUAAUAUUUAUAUAAAUUGUUGAGCAAAAUAUUAGUUUUCUAGAAAAUUGUGACUGUGAUGAAUGUUGUUUCAAGGUACUAAAAAGCUACUGGUUGAGUGCUGCGUGAAGUGGUAUCUCAUCCAAGCCCCAUAAGGAAUUUAUGAGGUUGAAAUUCUUAUUGUCUGUUUGAGAAUGAGGCAGCCAAGGCACAGGACAGUUCAUUGACUUGCCCCUGCUUAGGUAGCUGGUAAGUGGAGGGCCCAGCCCAGACUUCCUAAUCCAAAGCCCAGGCUCUUAACAACCACCUUAUCCUAGUCCUCAUUCCCAGACCGCGGUUGCCCCAUUCUAAUCUUCCACCAUCAAGGGUGCUCUACUAGAAGAGAUGGAAGAGAAUCUAAAUUUGAUCGCCUCACCAGAAUCUUAAUGACUCCACUAAUUGGAGCUGAUUAGUCAGGAAAUGUUAGGAGUCAGACACAAGUAAGCCACUGGGGAAAGAGAUGGCUUUGUUUGGUUUUCCUUUCUAAGCUUGUAGAAGAAAACCUAAAAACAUGUAAAAAGGAACUGACAAUUUCAAGAUUGAUGUGCUUUUUCUUGUUAAGGCUAAAUAUCAAAAACUUUAAAAAUAACUAAAAAGCAAACAGCAAUAACCUUUUAAGUGCUGUGAUUCUGAAAUAUGAGUAGAAACCAGGGUUUGUUUGCUUGUUUGUUUGUUUUCCUAAGUAAGGGAGUUAUGAUAUAAUUGCAAAAUAUAAUGUAAGAGUAAUGAGAAAAAGAACCUUUUUGACUUGCCCACUCCUGCACCUCCAAGACCUGGAGCAAUGGUAGGUAUAUAGUAGUUGUUCAAUAAAUAUGUGUUAAAUGAAUGAAUGGUGAUAAAAUUAGGAAUUAAAUCAUUGAAAUGGUGCACUCUGGCCUGUGCAUGAUGUUUUGUUUCUUCUGAAUAUUACUAGUGUGGUAUUUGUUGUUCAAGAAAUGGACAGUUAUUUAAGUCAUUUACUUAAAAGUUGUUAUUUUACUUUUAAGAGACAGGGUCUUGCUUUGUUGCCAGGCUCUGGAGUGCAGUGGCAUGAUCAUAGCUCACUGCAGCCUUGAACUCCUGGGCUCGAGCAAUCCUUCCAUGUAGCUGAGACUAUGGCACGUGUGACUGUGCCUACCUUAAAAGUAUACUUUUAAAUACUUGGCCUUACUUGAUGGCUGUUACCUGAUAAUGACCUUACAAACCUAUGGGCAAGAAAGAGCCUUAGGUGAUUGACUUUAGC